CACCUAAUCUAGGCAAAAAUAAUGGGGGUUUAGUUAUGUUAUAUGUAACUAAACCCCCAUUAUUUUUGCCCUGAUUAGGUA